UACGGGGGGGGCAAGCGUUGUUCGGAAUUACUGGGCGUAAAGGGCUCGUAGGUGGCCAACUAAGUCAUACGUGAAAUCCCUCAGCUUAACUGGGGAACUGCGUCUGAUACUGGAUGGCUUGAGUUUGGGAGAGGGAUGCGGAAUUCCAGGUGUAGCGGUGAAAUGCGUAGAUAUCUGGAGGAACACCGGUGGCGAAGGCGGCAUCCUGGACCGACACUGACGCUGAGGAGCGAAAGCCAGGGGAGCAAACGGG
rnacentral:rRNA from 1 species